AUUGAACGCUGGCGGCAGGCCUAACACAUGCAAGUCGAACGGUAACAGGAAGCAGCUUGCUGCUUCGCUGACGAGUGGCGGACGGGCGAGUAAUGUCUGGGAAACUGCCUGAUGGAGGGGGAUAACUACUGGAAACGGUAGCUAAUACCGCAUAACGUUGCAAGACCAAAGAGGGGGACCUUAGGGCCUCUUGCCAUCGGAUGUGCCCAGAUGGGAUUAGCUAGUAGGUGGGGUAACGGCUCACCUAGGCGACGAUCCCUAGCUGGUCUGAGAGGAUGACCAGCCACACUGGAACUGAGACACGGUCCAGACUCCUACGGGAGGCAGCAGUGGGGAAUAUUGCACAAUGGGCGCAAGCCUGAUGCAGCCAUGCCGCGUGUAUGAAGAAGGCCUUCGGGUUGUAAAGUACUUUCAGCGGGGAGGAAGGGAGUAAAGUUAAUACCUUUGCUCAUUGACGUUACCCGCAGAAGAAGCACCGGCUAACUCCGUG
rnacentral:rRNA from 1 species